UACGUAGGGCGCAAGCGUUGUCCGGAAUUAUUGGGCGUAAAGAGCUCGUAGGCGGUUUGUCGCGUCGGAUGUGAAAGCCCGGGGCUUAACCCCGGGUCUGCAUUCGAUACGGGCAGACUGGAGUGUGGUAGGGGAGAUCGGAAUUCCUGGUGUAGCGGUGAAAUGCGCAGAUAUCAGGAGGACCACCGGUGGCGAAGGCGGAUCUCUGGGCCAUUACUGACGCUGAGGAGCGAAAGCGUGGGGAGCAAACAGG
rnacentral:rRNA from 1 species